ACGUUUGUAGUUGUUCAGUAAUAUUAUAUAACAGGAAAAUGAGUAUUUCAAGAGAUUUUGAUGAGUGUGCGCAAUAUUGAUAAGUUGAUUCCAAUAAGUAAAAAAAUCAAGGAGCUUCUCAUAUUUCUUCAUAAUAUUCAAAAGAAGAAUACAGUCUACGACACACGCUGUGAAUAAGCAAGUGAAAACUAAUAAAAACAGAAAGUAUCAAUGGGAAAGAACAAAAGUUGGAUUCAUUUGAAAGGAAUUCCCCAGGGAAAUAUAUAAUAUUCCUUGCUGCUUCUUGAAACAAAAAAAAA